AUCGAUUUUGGGCUUCCAUUGUACCAAGAAGCCUGGAUAUCUCUUGCUCCAAGAAACCAGGUACCACAUCCCAUGAAUUUUCCGAAUUUAUAUUAUCCAAUUAGUUAAAAAAAUUCUCAUAUUAUCAAUUACUUAAUUUUGCAUUAUUGUAUUAAUACAAAAUUGUGAUUGUUAUGAUUGAGAAAGUGUAUCCCUUGAUAAGUAAUAAAAAUACGAAUUUAACAUCACAAAGCAUCGUCGCUACGUAAAACGGUGCUUGUUAGGAAAAAAAAUAAAAAGGACAGGAAAUGAAAACAAAGAAAGCAACCAAAGUAUUAAGAGAUUUGAAAAGAAAAGAAAAAACAGUACGUACUAGAGAAGAGAUUUGCAAUCAUGGUUUAACUUAAGGAGUUUGGCUUCGCCUAUGUAAUUAUUGAGAUAUUAAUCAAUUCUUCCAAUUGGCAAUCACUUUUUCUUAGUCUAUUAAAGUCAUUUAUGAUUUAUAUAAACAUCCAUCGACCUGAGAAAAUCAUAACCUCGUAAUGAUUUGAAUUUUAUCAUUCUUCCAUUUUUUUGGCAAAAUCAUCAAUAACUUAUUCAUAAUCAAGAUUUUUAAAUAAUCAUAUUCAAUAGAAAUCAAAACAAGUUUAUUUAACCUACCUUGUGUCAUAGUUUCAGAUAAGAUUUUAACAAUUUUAAAUUCGAUAAAUUAGUUUUUUUUUAGUGUAUAGAAUAGGAACAACAAUAGUUAAUAUUCUUUUAUAAGUUGUAUAUGCAUUAGCAAAACAAUUAAAUGUUUUCGAAUAACUAAAUCAUAAAGUUUGAUUUUGAUUCAUUGUUGAAGUUUGAAUCAUAACAAUUGUAAUAUUUUUUUUUCAAAAACUUUGAUUAUGUAAUUAUGUUAACACUAAUAGUAAUGGAAGGAAAUAAUUUGUUAUAUUUUUCUCUUUUACGCUUAACAUUGUACUUAAAUUAUUGAUUCUUUUUCUGAAAAUUGUAAAUAAAUUUUGUUGAUAAGUUUAAUGGUAACUUUCGAUCGGUGACACUUGUUUGUUGAAGACUUCAAGUGAACUUUAUACUUGGAAAAAUCAGUCCAUUAUUUCAUUUCUAUUUAACUAUUUAAAAAGAUCAAAUUUCUACUCACCCCCUCCCCACCAUUCAUCACCUCACCUACACACAUGGCCCAUUUUGUUUUUCUUCAUCUGUUUCUCACAGGGUAUCAGCCAGGCCCAUUUUCAUCAUGUAUUUAGUUUUCUUUUUCUUUUUUUGUUAUUGAGGAGGGGCAAAGCCUCUAAACACUAAACUGACCCUCCCAGUCCUAAGAGAGAUCACAGAGGACAGAUCCAGGGGGUAUGAGUACGGAUUGCCCAAUCAUCACUUGGAGUGCCUAAAACAAAUAAUGAGAUGCCUUAAAUAGUUACCCAGAUAAUCCUGAACCAGAAGCCUGUUACAAGCAACGGGAGCAGAAAUAAGGACAGACAGGGUAAUGGUUGGUUGUAUACAAAAUUCUAAAUUUACUGACUCGAAAUCCAACAUUCCAUGAAGAUUAAGCUUAUGGGAUUGUAGCCUUUUGGAUUAUAUUCAAAUUGGAUGUUUGGUUUGCCUCGACAUCGAGACAAUUGGCAUAUAUAUAGGAAAGCAAACAAGGGGAAAGAAGGAAUUAUAGGAAUCUAAAACUUGAAUAAGUGAGAGACAAUAUUGCCUCAGUAUGACAUAAAAUUCGUGAUGUGAUACUUUAUCUUCCUUACAGCAUCAUGCCAGUAAUAAAAAUUCAUAAUUUUGAAUGUUUUCAGACUUUUAAAGUAGUAUACUGGUUUAUAUUCUGGGAAACAUAUUGGUAGAGUUCUUCCUCUUCUUGCAAAUUUACUCUAUUUUAGCUUGUCUCCCUACAUUUUGGUAUCAUUUUAGCAAGUCUUUCCCCCAAACUGGCUUUAUUUCAAUCUAUUUCCUGCAAGUUUGUUCCAUUUUAUAUGCAUUACAAAUAAUAUUCAUA
rnacentral:lncRNA from 1 species